UACGUAGGGUGCGAGCGUUAAUCGGAAUUACUGGGCGUAAAGCGUGCGCAGGCGGUUUUGUAAGGCUGACGUGAAAUCCCCGGGCUUAACCUGGGAAUUGCGUUGGAGACUGCAAGGCUGGAGUCUGGCAGAGGGGGGUAGAAUUCCACGUGUAGCAGUGAAAUGCGUAGAGAUGUGGAGGAACACCGAUGGCGAAGGCAGCCCCCUGGGUCAAGACUGACGCUCAUGCACGAAAGCGUGGGGAGCAAACAGG
rnacentral:rRNA from 1 species